rnacentral:rRNA from 1 species
GAAGGAGGAGGCAAGCGUUAUCCGGGAUUAUUGGGCGUAAAGGGUACGUAGGCGGCUGGUCAAGUCUGGGGUCAAAGGCCACGGCUCAACUGUGGGCAGGCCCUGGAAACUGACCGGCUAGAGUGAGGUAGGGGUUGCGGGAAUUCCCGGUGUAGCGGUGAAAUGCGUAGAGAUCGGGAAGAACACCUGAGGCGGAAGCGCGCAACUGGGCCUCUACUGACGCUGAGGUACGAAAGCUAGGGGAGCGAAUGGG